rnacentral:rRNA from 1 species
UACGGAGGGUGCAAGCGUUGUCCGGAAUCACUGGGCGUAAAGGGCGCGUAGGCGGCUAUGUAAGUCACUUGUGAAAUCCCGGGGCUCAACUCCGGGGCCGCAGGUGAGACUGUGUGGCUAGAGCAUGGUAGAGGCGAGUGGAAUUCCCGGUGUAGCGGUGGAAUGCGUAGAUAUCGGGAAGAACACCCGUGGCGAAAGCGGCGCGCUGGACCACUACUGACGCUGAGGAACGAAAGCUAGGGGAGCAAACAGG